rnacentral:rRNA from 1 species
CACGUAGGGGGCGAGCGUUGUCCGGAUUUAUUGGGCGUAAAGAGCUCGUAGGCGGCUCGGUAAGUCGGGUGUGAAACCUCCAGGCUCAACCUGGAGACGCCACUCGAUACUGCCGUGGCUAGAGUCCGGUAGAGGAGCGUAGAAUUCCUGGUGUAGCGGUGAAAUGCGCAGAUAUCAGGAGGAAUACCAGCGGCGAAGGCGGCGCUCUGGGCCGGAACUGACGCUGAGGCGCGAAAGCGUGGGGAGCAAACAGG